GCGUCCGUAGUUCAAUUGGUAGAAUGUCGGUCUCCAAAACCGAUGGUUUCAGGUUCGAGUCCUGACGGGCGUG
rnacentral:tRNA from 1 species